AGAAAGAAAAGAAAGGACAAAAAGAAGAAAAGGAGAAGAAAAUUUCAUUUUCUCUUUUCUUCUUCUUCUUCUCCUCCCUUCACCGCCAAAUUUGAAGACAUCCAAGUUCCUUUUAUUUUUUUUUCUUUUUCCUUCUUCAAUUUGCAGAGAACUUCUAAGAGAGAGUUUGGAAGAAGAAGAGAAAUUUUACUAGAAUUUUUAGGUUGAAGAAGAGGAGGAGAACUCAAACAAAGUGUAUCAAUGGCUGAAUUUUAGUUCAUUCUGCACAUCACUGGUUUUUAAUUCGGUUUGAACUCUUCAAAAGGAAUUAAGAGAGCAGUUGGUUUUCACUCGAAAUCAGGAGGUCUCUUGUUUUUCUUGUAUUUCAGAGUGUAUCGGUGGAGUUAGAAUUUCUAUUUGGAACAAGUUAAAGAGGUCGUGUGCGCGCGAUUCUGGAAGUGGUUCUGUUUUGAGGGUUAUAUGUGUUUAUGCACGGGGAAUCAGAUUUAUAUGUCUUCAGGCCGAGAAGAAUUAAACCGAGCUUAUAGACCAAGGAUCUAGCCCAAGACUGUAGAGAUCGACUUCCCGGUGCCUGAUAGACUGCCUUAGUCUGCGGAAGCUUCAUUAUCGAUUGCCAGUACGUGUUUUGAGUUGGGCAUAAAGUCUGUUGUGUUGUGAUGUAUUCACACCCUUGUAUGUUAUAGAUACUCCACAGUUUGUAUAAGCUUUAGGAGCUGUAGUUGUGUAAAUUUUGUUGGUUAUAUUUUGAUUAAGGUGUCUUUAGGUUUACUCGUGAAAUUGGUAAAUUUUGAGGUACACUUCAUGUAUGUGUUUGACUAGCUGUGUUUGACUAGCCUAGGAUCCGCUGUGUUUUGUGGCAUGUACAAUAGUUUAUAUACUAGAUUGGCAAGUUCAUCACAUGAAAGUUUUAAGCAGAGUCGACAGAUACAGGUAUAUAAAAAGCGUUGUUCGUCGGCUUCACGCCAUCUUUCGGUCUAAGGUAGCAGGUAGUCCGGGAGGGGGUGUGACAUGAUAUUCUUUCCAUUUUAAUAUAUAUCCAAUUAUAAUGUUUAUUAUAUGUUAUAUACACAA